rnacentral:snRNA from 1 species
UUGCUUCCGCAGCACACAUACUAAGAUUGAAGCAGUGUGGAGAUUAGCAUGGCCCCUGUGCAAGGAUGGCACGCAAAUUUAUGAAGCAUUCCAGAUUUUU